AUGAGGCAAGCGAAGUUCAGGGCUCUACUCCCUACCGUCCCGCCUGGGUUCUCGUCCCCGUGCCUCCACAGCAGCCGCGGCCAGGAUUUGGUUGGCGACCUCGGCAGCCACAAGGACGACGGCGACCAAGUGUCCCAGGAUGAUGUUGGAAUAGCACCUGAUUUGGCUUCAGUCGACUUGUCUGCUGGAGAUACCCCAAGGCCCUCUGAGCAGCUAAUGUUGCUAACCCAGCCUAGCUAUAAGACGAAGAAUGUGGUGCCAGUUGUCCCCGAGGUCGCCACUUCUACAUGUCAUAACAGCCACGCUAUCGAGCAAAGUGCGUGCAAAGGCAAAGGACAAACUGAGGCGGAUGUUGUCACUUCGAAAGUUGUAGCCAUUGAAGAAUUGAUUACUGUGGAGGAUGCUCAAGAGCAAGUUCAAAUGGACGUUGAUCCACCUAGUCCAAGGCAAAAUCAAGUGGCGAUGGACACCGAUCAUGAAACGGUACAAAAAAAUCCGGAAAUUCAGUCGGAUGCAAGUGUCCAUGCGCCGACCAGUAUUGUACAAGCGAGUCCAAAUGCCUUGGCGGAUACGGCACCCCGGCCUGCAACGCCUCCCACUAUUCCAUGUGUACUGUAUCCGGUGGCCAGUCUUUCAGUGGAUGAGGAGGUUAGCGCCUGCAAAGGGGCCAUGAUUCAAGUCGAGCUGAUGAACUCCAAGCUGAACGAUGCACUCAAUACAAGUGAUGUUCUGAAAGCUCCUAUCCAAAAAUACUUUGAACUACGAUCCAAGCAUCUGGUAUUGCAGGAAGAAGUAGAAAGUCUCCAUGCGCAACCGGAGAAAGAGAAAAAGAAGAAUGAGAAGCUGGAGAAGGAGAAAGCAAUCAUGGGAGAGUGCCAAAACAAAUACCCCCAGAAGAGCAAAGGAGGAGAAGAAAAUUCCUCCUUUCAAGAUCACCUCCCUCCCCCAAAAAUUUCAAAUCAUAGUACAUAUAACGUGAGGGACAAAACAAGUAAAGGGAUGCUUGAUGUUGAAAUUUUUGAAUUGUACAUGGAGGGAUAUUGGAGCCUCCUUGUUUUGUGA
rnacentral:rRNA from 1 species